CUCGUGAAGACGUUGUUUCAAACGGUGUCUUCGUUGCAAGCUAACGUGGAGGUACACAACAAGUAAUAAUAUAUGCAUGCAUAGUGUUGCUUCAACCGCUUUAUUAUGGUUCUGUAGAUUCGAACACUAGACUAGCUAGUUCAUGUAGCAUCGGUUCGUUUCUAGACGCAGAUUACAUAAUGCAUUAGACAG